UCUUCUUGUUAAGGGCUGAAUCUCCCCUUAGCCUUGUACAAGGUGCCCAGCAUGCUCAAAUUACUGUCUCAGCAGGGAUAGGAUUGAGAGAGGAAGUUGGGAGGGGUGAGAGGCUUUCCCAGACAGUUUGGCUUUGUUCUCUACACCUAAACUGCUACAGUGGCACAGCAACACCACUGCAAUUGAGCCAAAGUGACGUUACCUGCACCAACAGGACAGGUUCUCCCAUCUGUGUAGGCAAUGCAGCUCCCUGAGAGUAGAGAGAGUGAGUGAUGGCAGCAGAACUUGUCAAUGCAGGAUCACAGAAAAUCUGGCAGACGACGCUUUGCUUCUGAAACCCUUGGAUGCUUUUCGUCUGGGCUGCAAAGAGUCUCGCAAGCUGGAAAAAAUCCACAAGGCAGCCCUUGUGUCACCUCUAAUAGCUUGUUCUUUUAAUAAAAUUAGCUUGUUGUUGUUGUGUAUCACAAA